UACCGUGGUAGUCACUACCCAUAAUCCCAUGCGUUAUGCUGAUCCCACGGAAAUUCCGCCCCGCCCACUUCCGGUACACAUUUCACCGUCCAGGCCAGGGUGGGAACUGCUGCCUUAUCCUCCAGGGUUACACAGUAGUGAAGAAGACAUCCUGUGAGUGUGAGACACCGAGCAGCCAUCCCCGUGUGUCAGGAGGACUGCGCAGGACCCAGAGCCCCAACACGGUGCCUCCACCUCACUCACUGACACAUGAGACACAUUGACCAGAAGAUCCUGGAACUCUCUAACAAGAUCAUUCAGCUGCUGACUGGAGAGGAGGAGGAGUAUAUAGAGGAACACAGGGGUCUGUACAAGGACGUGAUGAUGGAGAAUCACCGGCCCCUCACAUCACUGGGUAAGAG